rnacentral:lncRNA from 1 species
AUGGAAUCCAUAGAUCCAUUUCACUGUCUCAGGCUUACUCUCAGCCAAUUGGGAACUCUGCAGAUGGCAUUGCUGGUUUUUGGUGUUCCACCCAUACUGAAUCUCAUACCAGAAGGACAAACAAGGAGAUGCAGCAAGGUGAAGAGGAAGCAUCACAGGGCUGCCUUUCAGAGGACCACCAAACCUGAUUGGAGCUGGAGGUACAGAGAUGCAGCCUUAUCCAAUCUCCAGCAUCAGCAGGUGAGUUCUGUUUAUGUCUAAACUCUUAAUUCAAACUCUUCCUUCUCCUCUAUUCACCAUUAUUGUCCCUUCCCAGAACCUCCUCCAAGCCUGGCUUCUUCAUGGUUGCACCAAGGCUACUCUUUGUGACUCUACUCCUUAAUAAAUGACCAUUUAUUA